rnacentral:rRNA from 1 species
GGCUAACGCUGGCGGCGUGUCUUAGCCAUGCAAGUCGAGCGGACUUAUGGGGUAACUUAUAAGUCAGCGGCGGACGGCGGAGUAACACGUAGCUAACCUACCCUCUGGACGGGGAUAACCUACCGAAAGGUGGGCUAAUACCCGAUGUAGUCAUCCUGUAUAGGGGUGAUGAAAGGUGGGCUUCUGUUUACAAGCUCAUGCUGGAGGAGGGGGCUGCGGCCUAUCAGGUAGUUGGUAGGGUAAUAGCCUACCAAGCCGAUGACGGGUAGCCGGCCUGAGAGGGUGACCGGCCCGAGGGGCACUGAGAUACGGGUCCCACUCCUACGGGAGGCAGCAGGCUAGAAAUUUGGGCAAUGGGGGAAACCCUGACCCAGUGACGCCGCGUGCAGGAAGGAGCCCUUCGGGGUGUAAACUGCUGUCGUGUAGGGAGAAGGGUACUAAGGUGAACAAUCUUAGUACUUGACGGUACUACAGGAGGAAGCCCAGGCUAACGCCUGUCGACGACGACGACGCCGGUAACGGUACUACGGUACGUACCGUAGGAACGUC